rnacentral:rRNA from 1 species
GAUGAACGCUGGCGGCGUGCCUAAUACAUGCAAGUCGAGCGAACGGACGAGAACCUUGCUUCUCUGAUGUUAGCGGCGGACGGGUGAGUAACACGUGGAUAACCUACCUAUAAGACUGGGAUAACUUCGGGAAACCGGAGCUAAUACCGGAUAAUAUUUUGAACCGCAUGGUUCAAAAGUGAAAGACGGUCUUGCUGUCACUUAUAGAUGGAUCCGCGCUGCAUUAGCUAGUUGGUAAGGUAACGGCUUACCAAGGCAACGAUGCAUAGCCGACCUGAGAGGGUGAUCGGCCACACUGGAACUGAGACACGGUCCAGACUCCUACGGGAGGCAGCAGUAGGGAAUCUUCCGCAAUGGGCGAAAGCCUGACGGAGCAACGCCGCGUGAGUGAUGAAGGUCUUCGGAUCGUAAAACUCUGUUAUUAGGGAAGAACAUAUGUGUAAGUAACUGUGCACAUCUUGACGGUACCUAAUCAGAAAGCCACGGCUAACUACGUG